UAGCACAGAUUUUAAAAAUUUCAUGCAGCAGUCUUCCCUAACAUGACCCCCCCUCCCCAUACGCUGUGGUAUGCAUCCCCUUUUCUGCCGGCUGGAAAAAAUUGUCCUAGUAGUAGAGAGCGCCUGGUUUUGCCCAGACUGAGAAAGACACAAAUACAAGAUGUUUGAAAUACCAGAAUAUAGAAUGGCAGAUUCCACCCCCAAUUGGUACUCUCAUUUGUUUGCUUUAAAGUAGACGGCAUAUGACUUUAAACCAUCUUGAUUUCAUUGGUGUUUUCUGGCCUGAAUGUUGUUAGGAUGUCAAAUGAAUGUCCAUCUGGGGCCCCCAACUUGGCAUAUAGGGGUGACAUUAUCCAUACAUACUCCCAGAUUUCUUGCUGCAUCUGAGCUUUUGCAACUUAGUAAAAAGAAGAAGAAAAAAGGGUGAUGGGGUAGGAUGCUGCAAAGCAAAUUAUCAACUCUUUUCAUCUUUAUUUUCAGGAAUGUCUCAGAUUUCUAUAAACUUUUUAAAAAAGAAAAUAAAAAUAGUGAGUUGAUGCUGUCCAUUGUUAAGUCUGGAGUUGUGUCCAUUUGCUCAGAAAAGGAGACAAAAAUAAGCAGGUUAAUAGGACAUAUGCAUCAAGAAGUGACGGAGGUGUCAUUUUAUAAACUGAUCCUUUACAACUGACAAUGUCUUCAUUUACUGAAGCAUGAGCCUUUUGCCCCAAAUGUAUUAGAGUGCCUCCAGGGCUGUUGUUAAGAUUCCAAAGAUUCCCCCCCCCAGAUUAAGAACUCUUGAUUUAUUGUAAUUGUCACUCCAAAAUUGACUGAUGCAAAAGAUAUACUUGUCUGCCCUCUAGUGUCACACUGUGACAACAGCUAUUUGUAACAAAGAGCUAAGGAUACUCCUGUUAUCAACCUGAUUGUACCCAGCCAAUAAUUGCACUAAACAUUCUUUGCAAGAAGACUAUGGGAACCUAUAGUUAUUGUAAUGCUACUACUGUGCAUGCAUUCCACCAUCCUGCUAUAAUAGAAAUGAUGCGAUUAUUUUAUAUGCUUUUGCUUAUGGUUUUUCAGUACAUUUCAAAUUAGGCACAUGCAAAUUAAGUAUAUGCAAAUUAGCCUUCCUUUGUUUUGAGCUACUGAGAUUCUUUGUAAGUAUUAUAACCUGGUAAUUUCUGUAAUGUAAAUAUUUAUCUGCCCGAUUAUAUUCUGAGAUAUUUCAGGUUUCUGGAAUAACAGUAUAAAAAUCAAGGUGUUCUGCUGCUUAGCAAUAUCUUCUAAUAAAAGAAUAUCUGCCUCAAAUCUGUACUUGAAAAAACUGAAUUCUCCAUUAAUUUAUGUUGAGAAAGAAAUUGGAGGAGGCAGCAAGAAAGAGAAAAAUAUUUGCAGCAACAUUUCUAUUCGAUAAUCUUAAAAUAUUCUUGUUUAUGUGUAAAAAAAGAAAGCAAUGGUAUCUGUGAUUCCGAGUUGGCCUUAACCUGGAUUUUUAUUCCCAGAACCUUAGUGUCAGAAAAACCAUGGGAAUUGCCAUAGUAAAAAAGAAGCUACUUUUCAAAGUAUGUGUUCUUUCCCAUAGAAAAAACACAGCAAGUUGCGUAGCUGUUAGAAGGACAAGAAAAGAAUGUGACCCAAGUGACAAUGUGGUGAGUCAGGUAUGGCAAGCACAUUUUCCCAGGCCCAGGCAACUCAUAUUAUCAUGGCCCUGUAUGUUACAGUGUCUUACAAAUGCUAAUGAUUGUGAAAGUAUGUUGAUUAUGUAAUCUUGGGUGUAGACUUCUUUUCACUGCAAGGAACAAUAUCUGAGUGGAUUAUUAAAAAUAGUGGAUACUAAUUUUUUCCCUUUUCCCUGCAGCCCCAGGCUUACAAACUAUGCUGAAUGGGAUAUUCCCAAUUUUCUCAAUCUUCUGGUAGAUGGGGAUAGAACAGCAAGUGGAGAGAGAAACCAGCAGAAUGAUAUCAUCAGCAACACAUGUAAAAAUAUUUGAUGUAAAACUAUUGAAGUGUACAAGUUGCCCUUUCUCAACCAAAGAACAUCUUGUCUUAUUUUUUUCCCUUGCCUUGAUUGUACCUGAUUCAUAUUUUUAUCUCUUUGUUGGAAAGUACUCUGUAUUGAGUUUAUUUCAUGGGUUAACUUUGUUCUUUUAUCUCUUUUGGAUUCAUUUUGCUUUUGAGUUCACUGGAAUUCAUCUGAAGUUAUUGUCAUUUGUGAUUGGAAUGAUGUGGCUUUAGUGCAUUCCUGAUUAAAGGAACAACAACAACAAAAUAGACAGAGCAGUGGUGGUAUUAAGCUGGUUCUGUCCAGUUCAGGUGAACCGAUAGGGGCGACUGCGGAUGGCCCAUCCACCUGUGCAGACAUCACAAUGUCCCAAUUUUCCACAUUUUUGAGGCUCUGCACAUGCGCAGAAGAUGGUGUGUGCAUACACACAUUUGCGAACCGGUAGAGAAACAGAACAAUUGGCAGCUCUUCCAUUGGCCUUUGCAAUUAUUCUUUUAAGAAGCAACUCCAUCAACCUUAAUCAAAAAGAACUCUUCUAAAUACUUCUUUGGCUGGAACCUUAUGGAAGAAUGGCCAAAUGAUGAUGCUUACUGAAUGCAGGAAUACUGCCCUGUAAUGAAAUGCAAUGUUGAUACAGAAAACAUGUUAUAAAUGACGUCCUUAUUGGGUGUUGUGUGUGAUGACAUUCUGCAUGGAGCUCAUAAGCCAGGUAAGAUCAUUUCAAGUAUCUGCUAUGGUUUGAAAUCCAGAAUCCACAGAUGGUAGUAUCAUUUUCAGGAGUUAUUAAAAUAUCAUAAAAAUGUGUAAAUGCUUUCAAGUUCUCAGGAGUUCAACAAAUUUGGCUGUACAGCAAACAGAGACUGUGUAGAAACAAUAUUAAAGAACCACAUCUACAAAUCAGAGCAGAUCUUGUGCCCAUAAGGCCUGCAGUUCAUGAGUAUAUUGGAAUUGGUCUGCAGUAAGUGUUGCAAGUAUCAGAUUAUGCCUAAUAUUCGGGGACAAAGAUCAAAAGGUUGGCAUGCCUACAUAUACAGACCAGGGGUGAGUUCUACUUAUCUUUACUACCAGUUCACAACGGGAUCACGCGUGCGCCCUCACUUUGCUCAUGAGUGCGUCUUGCUUCUGCGCAUGCGCAGAUCGCCGAUGACGACAUCCAGGGCAGUGGAUGGGGCCUCCCGCCGGUUUUACUACCGGUUCUUGCGAACUGGUCUGAACCGGGGGCAACCCACCACUGAUACAGACUAUAUUGUCUGUCAUCCCUGCCCAACAUAUUUUUUCUUUGCUUUUUGUAAAUACUAUAUUCAUAGAUCUUUCAGGCUGAUUGUGCCACAGUAAGAUAUAUACUUGAGUAAUCAAGAGUGCAUGUAUGUAUUUACUUUCCUCUUAUUUAUAUAUCCAAUAAUGCUUUCACAUCAUGUGCUAGUAUGAUUGCUGUUGGGUUAGGCAUCCAUAAUCAUAUUACAUCUGACUUGUAAUACAAUAUAGUAACUACAGCAUAUUGUUUAGUCAAUUGACCAUAUCAAGAAGACUUGUAAUACGAUCACCUUACAGAAAACCAAUUGAUUUACAAUGGAUCAAUUGACUCCUAUCUGGGCACCAACAUAGACAUGCAUGUACAUUUACACACAAAUACAGAAAUUAACAAGUGCAGUUGAACAAGCAGCAAUAAUCAGUAGGGUGGUAUACAAAUUUAAUAAAACAAACAAACAAAACAAAACGAUCAGUUGCUGCUCCUGGACUGUAUCCUUCAAAUUAAACAGGGCCUAUUCUUUUAUUGGCUCACACUUAGAAGCCAUGGCAGAGUUUUAGCAAUCAAAGGAAAAUAACACAGACAUGAGGUUUCUCUCCACUUGACCAAACCAUUAAAUCAUUUAAUGUGAUUAAGAUAAUACAUGGAUUAUUUUGUUAUUAUUCAGUGUAUAUUCCUUAAGUUUAAACACCCAAACACUUUCUUGUUUUAAUUAAUUUUUAGGGCCCCAUUUUACUUGCUAAUAUUUUCCAAAUAUCCAGUGAAACCAAAUUACAACCUAAAUAACUGCUUUCCAGUUUCAAUAAUUUCAAACCUUUAUGGAAAAAAUAUUUUUCAAAAAAAAAAAAAGUGGGAUGAAUUAUCAGUUCUUUCAACAUUGAUCUAAGCUACAGUUUUACUUAAUAGCUGCAGCCAUGCAGGCUUUAUCCUCCCCAUCUUUAGUCAAUUGCUUCCUCAAUAUUACAAAUGAUUUUGAAAAAAACAGCCCAUGAUCACAAUGAUCACAGCCAGUGAGAUUUUGCAGUAUGAAAAUGUAGCAUGCUCAGGUCAAGCCAGAAUAACUGCAAAUUAUUCCUUCUUGACUAAUUGUAUGUACCCCUGGAUCCAAGAACUGUGAAUGGGACAACAUCACAAUUUUUAUAACUAACAUGGCUUGGCUACAUGAUAAUGCCAUUUAAGAUAAGACAACUGUUUUGAAAGAGAAUAUAAACUGAGUGCUGAAAAUUGUGGGGAAAACCAAGUGUCUUUCAACAAUGCUGAUGAUGUUUAGGAAAGGCAGUACAGAUGUCACACAUUUUUCCCACAUGGCAGUGGACAUGUGGGCUGCUUUCCCUUCUACAUGAAGCUUAUCUUUUUGUAAAAAAAAAAGGUGCCAUGCAUGAAAUGACCUUGCCUGACUAGCAGUUUCACUUCCUCUGUUGUGCAAUGCAAAAGUCACCGAAGCUGAAAUGAAUGAGAAGUUGAUGAAUGAAUAUUUAGAUAAACAUUAAGGCUCCUUGCACAUGAGAAUUAAUUGCAGGAAGACAGGAUUCCUGUUUGCUUGAGAGAUGCUACUCCUGGAGUCAGGGAGAAAUCAUUCUGAAUCAAGGUAGUGAGAUGCACCCUGAAGCUGUGCCUUGUUCAUCUCCUAAGGACUCUUGAGAAACAUUUUGGUCCUCUAUUCAACCCCCUGGGCACCAAAAUAAUGAAUGAGAGUAAUUGUGAAGAUGAAAAGCUUUCCAACUCACUCCUUUAUUUACUUUUUCUAUUAUUUCUUUCCACUCCCAGGUAAAGGAAUGAAGUUGGCCUGAAAGAUAGACCUGCAGGGGUGUGGCAAUAAAGUUAACAUGAAACAUUGCUUAAUAGUUAGUCAUUUUUUAAUAAAUUCUGGAGGAGGCUAUGAAUCAUUUGUUUAAAAAAAACCCUUCUAAAUCUUAAAUUCCUAAUUUGGUAUGCAUAUAUUCUAUUUGUACAUAAGGGGAUUAAUAGAACCCUUAGACAAAUACGCCUCUAGCAUAUAUUUUAUAUUCACUUUGCCAUGUUUGUGGAUCACGAGAGAGGAAGAAAUGUACAUUUCUAUUAAAAUAAAAAUAGACGCAUAACUCCUUUCAUAUCCUAAAGGAUUUGGCACAAAGCUUCAUCUCUUCCAGGAAAGGUAUUUUUCUUAGCAAGCACAACAAGUAGUCAAUUCAUUUUUUUCAGAUGAUCUAGCAUUAUCUAUGCAUAAGAUAGCAGUAAGUUUUGGUAAAUCCCAAGCUUGAGCAAAACUGUAUAAAGCAAGAAAAACCCAGAAGCUGUGGAAUAUUGGAUAACUGUUGUAGGGAUGCAAUGGAAUACCAGGCAUAUCAAUAUCGAAUGAAUUCUCUCUAGAGAGAGUAAACCAAUCUGGCUGACCGGUACAGCAAGAAUAUUUUCUACUGUAAGGUAUAACGGGAACCAUAUACAAAACUGUAGUCCCAUUCAUUUCAGGGUUUUUAAAAAGACAAGCAGAACUUCAUAGGGAUUUAUUUUUGUAAUAAUUACACAAUGAUUAUCAGUUCCAUGGCAUUCAGAACCUUAUUUAGGGUGGAAAGACAUUCUCCCAAUUGAUGGCAGAAACUAGCUAACCUUAGAUGGCCUUUAAAAAAAGCAAACCAGAAUAAGACCUGGCUAAUAUAUGGAUAGGAGUCAGCCAGGGAAUCUUAACACUGAACUAAACUGGGAAGGUAAAAAAAAAAAUCCCAGAAGAGGGUGAUGGCAAUCUACUUCUGUACUGUUGUCAAGAGAAGAAUACGGACAGUUUAUGUUGAUACCAAGCUAUUUUAUCAGGAGGGAAGAAGGAAGGGAGGGCAGGAGGAAAGAAGGAAGGAAGGAAAGAAGGAAGGAAGGAAAAAAGGGAGAAGAGACAAAAAUAAAACCAAUAAAGCAAAUCAUUUUAUUUGGAAGAACAUUAAAAAUGAACAGAAAAAAAAAGGGGGGGAGGGACAAGUGAAAGGAUGAAUAAGGCACUACAACCUUAUACUACAUUAUUACACUUCAACAUUGUUGGAGGUCCAAAUCCAAUGGCACCCAUUUUUCAGAAUCUCAUUACUUAUUCACCACAAGGGGCCAGUAGUGUGUUGACAGAGAGUUUUGGAUUUACUCUAUAUUUUCUCUUUGCUUAUCUCUCUGUCUAUCCUGUUUUAAGAGAUUGCUAAUCUGAGGUCACUUUCUUUUGCCUUUCAUGAUCUAGAUACACAUACAUGAAACACCUACUCUUAGUCUCUCCUUUGGAUGGGAUAUAGCUACCUAGGUGCUGGGAAUUGUUUUUCCCUCUGAUGUUUUUCCUUCAAAUAAAUCCCUUUUCUAUUAUAAUUACAAAUUUUGCUUCUCUGAACAUUGUUCAGAUUGGAUAUUUACCCUCAGAACACAUAGGAUAUAUUAAUCUCCAACAAUUACCAGAUUACAGGCCAUUUCUUAAAGAAAUUGCAGUCUUUCUAUUAUAUAAUUCCUUUGUUGUAAAUAAAAUGUGUGGGCAUGUAGGGUCUAUUUUAUUAAUUGCUAUUUUGAUUUGUCUCUUCCCACUGCUGUUACACCCCUUAAGAGCCAUCCGUGCCUAUUAGAGUUGCCUAUGUGAUGGGCAGAGUAAAUGCAAGGAAGAGAGCUUGGAGGUGGGUAUAUGACUGAAUCAUACCAGGGUGUGCAUAAUUAAAGAAUUAUUUGGAAGAUGCACUUCAGACUGCGCAUGUGCGUACCAUCUGUGCUAUUCGUUACAGUAGCUCAUUUUUUUCAGGCUACUGUGAGGCUAAAACGAUGCUGCUGCUGCUGUAAGUUUGCAGACCUUUUAAGAUUAAUGCCCCUUUUAAAGCAGACACAAUUUUCUUCAGGCCCAUGUAAGGACUGUUUUAAUGAAAAACAGAGAGUGAUGUGCUUGCAUAAAGUCCAACACACUUCUGAAUGAUUUUAGGAUAUGUACAAUAUGCGCACUAGAGUUCCAACAUCAUGUUGUUACAAUGUUUUGGGUAUUGUUUGUACCCAACAAUACCAUGUUUUUUUAAUCGUGAUGUUUGAAGCAUGUUUCACAAUGUAUAUACCCAGCUAAUUAUGUCUCAAUCACUAAGCACUGACUAUAAUUUGAGAUCUGUUGAUGUGGUUUAUAUGUGGUUUGUUCUAUGUAUGAGGAAUAGAAAAGCAUGUUUUCAUGUAUAAUGAGGUGUCUUUGGAGAACUCUAUCCAUAUACUUCCCCAAGUCCUCCAUGACUAAUUUCUUAUUUAGAUUCAGAAAUAUAAAUAGUAUUACAUCAAGUAAUAUAACUAUUUACAUUCUGUUUAUAUUUUAUUUUAUAUGCCUUAAAUUUCAUUGUUGCUGAGGAAUUAAACCUAUGUAUGUAUAUUUGGGGUUAGAUUACAUGUAUUGUUUCAUUACAUGUAAUGUUUUACCUUUGAAAAAUACAAAUAAAUGCAAAUGAAUACCUUCCUA